rnacentral:sRNA from 1 species
GUCCGGGAAGAGCCAACCGUGGCGCGGGCGGCGCGGGGAGGCGUCCCAGAGUCUCACUCUGCCGCCCAGGCUGGACUGCAGUGACACAAUCUGGGCUCACUGCAACCACUGCCUCCCGGGUUCAAGCGAUUCUCUUGCCUCAGCCUCCCAAGUAGCUGGGAUUACAGAUUGAUGUUCAUGUUCCUGACACUACUACAAGAUUCAUACUCCUGAUGCUACUGACAACAUGGCUUCCCCACAGUCACCAAACCAGGAAUGCUAUAUUGGACUUCCCUACUCUCAUCUGCUCCAGCUCCCUGACCUUAUAGUUGCCCAGCUUUCCUGGCAAUUGACUUUGCCCAUCAAUACACAGGAUUUAGCUGAGUAGCAUCCAGGGAAGAUGUCGGAGCCUCAGAUGUUAAUUUUCUAAUUGAGAAUAUUGGCGCUAUCCGAACCUGGAGACAGAGUAUCAGCGCCUUUGCUUGCUGCUGUUUUUGUUGUUUUUUGAUGCUGGGA